rnacentral:rRNA from 1 species
UCACCCGCUGAGUUUAAGGCAUAUCNUAAGCGGAGGAAAAG